rnacentral:rRNA from 1 species
UACGUAGGGUGCAAGCGUUGUCCGGAAUUAUUGGGCGUAAAGAGCUCGUAGGCGGUUUGUCGCGUCUGCUGUGAAAACUCGGGGCUUAACUCCGGGCCUGCAGUGGGUACGGGCAGACUAGAGUGCGGUAGGGGAGACUGGAAUUCCUGGUGUAGCGGUGAAAUGCGCAGAUAUCAGGAAGAACACCGGUGGCGAAGGCGGGUCUCUGGGCCGAUACUGACGCUGAGGAGCGAAAGCGUGGGGAGCGAACAGG